rnacentral:rRNA from 1 species
GGUCUCAAGCGUUGUUCGGAUUCAUUGGGCGUAAAGGGUGUGUAGGUGGCGCCGUAAGUCGGGUGUGAAAUUUCGGAGCUUAACUCCGAAACUGCAUUCGAUACUGCGGUGCUUGAGGACUGGAGAGGAGACUGGAAUUCAUGGUGUAGCAGUGAAAUGCGUAGAGAUCAUGAGGAAGACCAGUGGCGAAGGCGGGUCUCUGGACAGUUCCUGACACUGAGACACGAAGGCCAGGGGAGCAAACGGG